UGUACUCAGCUGUUCGCAUGACCAUACCUUUCAGUUCUUCUACCAUGGGGUUGAUAUUCGGAGUUGUAGUGUGUAAUUUGCAAUAGACUGUAUUUUACAAAUAAUAUUUCAUUCACAGUUAUAAACUCCUUUCGCAUAUCCUAGCUAGGAUUUUUCUUACAAAGCGAAAAAUAUAACAAAUAAAUAACUCUGAGAGCACGGUCAAAUCGUGAGAAUCGUUCUAAGAUAUCCUCAGUUUUAUUUUCUGUUUGAAAAGAAAAUACUCUAUUUUCUUUAGACGGCUCUUUUAGUGCUAUUUGUUUGGGCCAAAGUUCUGUCGAUUUUACCAGCCAUUUUGGAUCGUGCCCCCAGAGCUCGCUUGACUGCUAUUCAACCGCUGUAGAUCUGCGCGUACCGAAUCAGCUGCGUUGUCACCAGUGGGAGCAUGCGUUCAAUAGUGGAAUCUGACUACAAAAAACUUCUGAAAUACAAAGGCCAAGAUUUUGGUGCACAGAUUUCAAAAGUCUCUCGACGAUUAGCGCGGCUCCAUAGAGUUCGAGUCUGGGUAAGCUCAUUGUCUUCAAGGGUGCUACCUCGUCUUCGAGGCAAGUAAAUUUGUAAAAACGAGAUUUUUAGGUGACACUAAUCGGAUGUAUAUAUAGGCGCAAUAUGCCUUCUCCGAGGCAUGGCAAAAUCCAUGAACCUGAAUUUUGCUCUCAGGGGAAUAUUGAACCCGUCGAGGUAUCUUAAUUUUUUCUAUUUCGGGAAAGUUUUAGAUAAAAAAUUCCAUGUUUCCAUAGCAUGUGGUUUGACUUCUUUAUCCCAAAUUGUUCCAUCAAUCCAGAGUUGUUGGAUAAGAAUUUUUGCAACAACUAUAAUCGGUGCCAACCAGCCCGCUGGAUCAAAUAAUUUUGCCACAAUAGACAAAAUUUUCCGUUUUGUUACAGGGGGGGAAGGAGGGAAAUCUAUAUUUGCAACUUUAUUGAAGAGUAUAUCAAACAUUGCGCUCCAGCGGAUAGAUAAAGUCUUUGUCUUGCUCUUAUCCUCCAAUUUAAGAAAGUCCUCAACUAAAAUGUCUUCCCGGAGGAAGAUUUUGCAAAAUAUGAGAAUGAUUUGAUGUGACCUUUUUUAGUGGAAAACCCGCAGAACUCAACAGAUCUAUUAACUCUAGCAGAUAUGAUCGACAUUCAGUCAGGGAAUGUCCUCCAGAGAGAAUAUCAUCUACAUAAAUCUGAUUCUGCAAAAUGGAAGAUGCUUUAGCAUGUCUAUCCUUUGCACCCUGGCUCAGUUGAAGUAGCGUCCUUAUCGCCAGAUAAGGUGCACAGUUUAUGCCGAAUGUAACCGUUUUCAAAUAAUAAUCUUGUGCUUCUCCAGUCGGUCACUCUGGUGCACAAUAAUUUGUCGGUACAUCUUUUGGAUGUCCCCAUUAAAAACAUACCUAUAGAACCGCCACCGAAGUAUUACGUUCAUGAGGUAAUUUUGGAGAGCAGGCCCAGUGUACAAAAUGUCAUUCAAAGACACUCCAGUAGAUGUCUUCUUGGAUGCAUUGAAAAUCACGCGUACCUUCGUAGACGUGCUUUCUGGUUUUGUCACAGCAUGUUGGGGUAGGUAAAAAGACAUAUACCGGGAGUUAUCAUAUAUUUCCGUGGGCGUAGUUAACUCUAAUGUGUCCAAGACGCAAAUAUUCGGAUAAUGAGUCAUUGUUCUGGGGAACACCUAAGGCUCUUUUCCAUUCUGAGAAACUGCCCCAUCGCCAAUCUUCUUGAAGAUCCGAGCAUGAUCUCCGAUGGAAGAUCAUCUCUAAAGGGCAGCCUUACCGAAUAUCUACCGUCAGCCAUCCGUUAUAAUGUCCUCGCACAAGAGACUUCCUCGAUCUCCCAAAAUCCCCUCAAAUCCUCGUUUAAAGAGGCAGGACAGAUAAUCAACGAAGCAAACGUAGACAAGGAAUGUACUUUGGUGAGCUACUUAUGACCCACCCGAAUUCAGUCUCCUGUGUCAUUAGGUUCCCGGAUACAUUCUUAUUCAGACCCUCCCUAAGUAUGAAGGGAAGAAUAUUACUGCCGAGCAACAUGUCAAUUUGGGCAAACGGUCGCUGCAGUCUAAACUCCGAUUUCCGGAAUUUAUUUUUAUUUUAUUCAUAAAACAGCAAUACAAAAAGCCUCCAGGGCCAAAAAAUCCAUAUUACCUAGAAAAAACCCUGAGUAUAAAUCUUAUGAAUUACUUAAACUAAAUAAAAAAGAAAAAAAAUUAAAAAUCUUCGAGGCUCCCCAGCCGUGUAACAUAAAAGUUGAAUCUACAGUAUAUAAUAAAAAAAAUAUCCUUGUAGUUGUAACCACAGAUACCAUACGUCAGAAUAUAAUAAUAAGAGAGUUAUGAGAAGUGCUCCAACAAUUUCAAACGAAACACAUAGAUAGACUGCGAAGAAAUUCUCAAUUCAUAAGGCAAUCUAUUCCAACAACAUGCAACUCUGACUAGAUACGAGCUGGCAUAUAAAGAGUUCGCGAUUCUUGUUAUAUGUAUUUGAGGGUUUCUUGUUGAUCUAGAGAAAAUAAAAGCUGUACAUAAUGCUGCUGGUAUCCCAGCCAUAACAACCUUAUAGAACGUGUAUAAGUUACGAAAUUUUAUAAAAUUGUUAAAAGAGCAUCCCAAGAAGCGUUUCACACAACUUGAAACAUGGUCCAAACGGCGGAUAUUAAGCACAAAACGUACAAUAGAAUUUACAACUCUUUUUUAGCUUGUUCAGAAUAGUUACCAAAGUCCCUGAUAUAAACUAGAGGCCAUAAAGAACUUGAGACAAUAAAAGAGAAUGUGCCAGCAAUCGCCCGACGCGAAAAGGUAAAUAGGCAUAAGUUGAAUAAAUUCAACGCAUUGCAGCCCAAACUUUGCCAGAGGGUAAGUUAAUGUCAGAUUUAAAGUUCAGUUUACUAUCCAGGACAAUACCCAAGCAUCUGUGGUACUCCAAUAUUUCAAUUUCAUCGUUGCCUAGGAACAAAUUGAGAUUUGCUAAAAAACGACCAGUUGGACCAAAGAGAACCGCCGUAGUUUUAGAGGCAUUGGCCUCGAAAUGAUUUAAAGAGCACCAACGAAGAAAUUGGUCCAAACAAUAAUUGACAUCACUCUAGAAAAUAUCACGACUAGAAGAACUUCCAGUAAAUAAAAGAAACACAUCGUCAGCGUAUAUAAAUGUUCGAGUUCGUCGUCGCAGGCAAAUCGUUAAUAAAAAGAAUAAAUAAUAAAGAACCAAGGACUGAUCCUUGUGGAACUCCCGAUUCAAGGUAGAGCAACUCAGAUACUUCACAAUUCACAGCCACAAACUGAGACUUCCCACUCAGUUUAAACACUGUUCUAGAAUAACUCACAGAGUUGAAAGCUUUUGAUAAAUCCAGGGAAAUUAGUGUGCUCAACUUGCCGUUGUUAAUGUUAUCACGGAUAUAAUCUGUAAUUUCAAGCAAAAAAAGGCGUAGUGUUAUAUCCAGAGCGAAAAGCAUAUUGAGAAGGAUAGAUCAAAUUACACGUAGACUCCAGAAUCUGAAACUUAAGGAGGUGCUCAAAAACUUUCGACAGAGCUGGCAAUAUGGAGAUUGGUCUAAGAUCAUGAGGCCCGUUAACGUUUUUCGAUUUGGGGAUAGGAACAAUACGAGCCUUUUACCAGGCCCUGGGCUGGAAUUUCGUCAACUCCUAUAGAACCAGACCUCACUUUCUUCAAGGCUACCAGAACCUUCGUACACAUCGAAAAGAAAAUGAGUCGUCUGAUUCAAAAACAUAAUCUAAGUCCAUCCUCAUUGACACAUAAAGCGCAAGUGCUAACACAUCCUGAGCUACGAAGAUUGCGCCAUAAAGCGGUAGAGUCCAAUUCCCAGAUUAGAUUACAAUAACAUUUUCUCCUUCCCUUCGAAUCACCCCUUUAGCACGAUUUCUAUAUUUACAAAAUGUCUUCCAGUUUCGUUGUGAACGGUCAGAAAUGAAGGCAGAAUAAGAUAAAUCACAACGAGAUCUUGACUGUGCGACAUCUUUAGAAUUCAUCCAACGGUCUUUCCCGCAAAUAACCCUCUUUAUCACAACAGAAACAUGAACAUAAAUUCAUACGAACCAACGAAGUAUCACUAACCAAAAAAUAGUCAAGCAAGGAUGUCGAACACGUCCCUAAGUUAAAAUGAGUGGGCUUUGAGUUAUAGACUAAAGUCUAAUUAAGCCUAGUGCAUAAAUGACGUAAGGAACUAGCUUUAACAACGUUAAACAAAUUAUUGUUAAAGUCGCCUACUAAGACAAUACACGAAUAUGCCGACAAAAUCUCACAAGCAUCCUCUUCGAAAAUAUCCAAGUUACCAUUUGCAAGAUAAACAACACCAAAAAAAAUCAGAAUUAUCUGCA
rnacentral:sRNA from 14 species